UCAUCGUUUUGUUUAUUGCUAUCUUGAAGUAAUCCACUCACGGGUUUCUUGGACUUGUGAUCAACUACGUUACUUCUCUGGUGGUUUUCAUCAUCUUCAAUUUUAUCAGGAAUGGCAAGGAGCUACUUCAAACAAGAGCAUGAUCUUGAGAAGAGAAGAGCAGAGGCGGCUAGAAUUAGAGAAAAAUAUCCAGACAGGAUCCCGGUUAUUGUGGAGAAGGCAGAAAGAAGUGACAUCCCAAGUAUUGACAAGAAAAAGUACCUUGUCCCUGCUGACUUAACUGUUGGACAGUUUGUCUACGUGAUCCGCAAAAGGAUCAAGCUAAGUGCAGAAAAGGCAAUCUUUAUAUUUGUGGACAACGUCCUUCCUCCUACAGGAGCAAUUAUGUCUGCCAUAUAUGAUGAGAAGAAGGACGAGGAUGGGUUUCUCUAUGUUACAUACAGUGGCGAGAACACCUUUGGGGAUUUCAUUUCCAUUCAGGAGCCCUUAUAAAUUAACUGCAUAUGAUUUGGUCUAUCUGAUGGUGUACGUUCCAUGUGGCAUGCUCCUUGGCUGCUGGGAAGAGAGUCGAAGGGAUUGCAAAUGGGGUUUCUGUCUGGAGUGAUUAAAAAUGAGCGAGAAUAGGGGAACUAGACAAGGUCAAAUUAUUGGAGACGUUAACUGCAUCUAGUAGCUUCAAGGAUUACAGGCUACAGGAAAAUCAACAGCAGCAACAGAAACUCGCGAAUAAUGAAUUGAACACUUUUGAGAGUUGUAGCAUGUCAUCCACUUUGAAGGAACCGAUCGUAGAGGCAGCUUCAGGGACAUCUUUGCAAAUGGAUUCGCCAUCCUUUCUCGCAGCAGAGGGUUGUGUAGGAUGAGAGGGGGCCUGCACGGUCAAUGCUGGGAGCUGCUGAGCAUCAUCACGUUGAAGAAAUAAUGGUUACAAAGGCUAGUGACACUGCAGAGGACAUAGUUGAAAUGGACUAUGCUCAACCUCAUCGGAAACCACCCAUUCAUAAUGAAAAACCUUGAUUGCGUGCAUGCUUAGUUAGUGAUUUUACCAUCUGUAUUUUUUGAACAAUGUUUAUGCCAUGCUGAGUUAUUUGUUUUGAGAAACUACCAUGUUGUAAUUGGACCAAAGUAUGAUUACGAUAUGUGUGCUAUUUUAAAAAAACAUGCUGUAUAUUUUCACGAUGAUGUUUGGAAUAAAGCAAGUAAUGGAUAAUAACAACCA